rnacentral:lncRNA from 1 species
CAGAACCUAAAGGCAGACCCAGAAGAGCUUUUUACAAAACUAGAGAAAAUUGGGAAGGGCUCCUUUGGAGAGGUGUUCAAAGGCAUUGACAAUCGGACUCAGAAAGUGGUUGCCAUAAAGAUCAUUGAUCUGGAAGAAGCUGAAGAUGAGAUAGAGGACAUUCAACAAGAAAUCACAGUGCUGAGUCAGUGUGACAGUCCAUAUGUAACCAAAUAUUAUGGAUCCUAUCUGAAGGGACCUUGGGGCCAGCUUGCGGUAAGAACUUGCCUUUAGAAGAUCCUUUGGUUCCCAUCAGUGUCUCCCUCUCCUCAAAGGGAUGGCAGCCCAGUGGACAGUGGGCACAUGACCCUGACAUCGACAGAC